GUGUUGUGUGAAAAAAAGAGAAUGUUAGUAUUCCUUUUGAUGAGAAUGGAUGAAAUCCAGUGACUUGUAUGACAUAUACAUGGUUAAGGCAUUGCUGCCUACUCUUUGGAACUUAAUCAUAUUUUUCU
rnacentral:ncRNA from 1 species